ensembl:misc_RNA Metazoa_SRP Metazoan signal recognition particle RNA
GCUGGGCGUGGUGGCAGGCCCCUGUAAUCCCACUCAGGAGGCUGAGGCAUGAGAAUCACUUGAACCCAGGAGAUGGAGGUUGCAGUGAGCCGAGAUUGUGCCACUGCACUCCAGCCUGGGCAACAAGAGCAAAACUUUGUCUCAAAAAAAGAAAAGAAACUGAGUCUUGAUCUGUGGCCCAGGCUGGAGUGCAGUGGGGCAAUCUCAGCUCACUGCAACCUCCAUCUCCUGGGUUCAAGUGAUUCUCAUGCCUCAG